CGAGAGGGUUCGGCCCUCGGCUGACGGCUCAGUAACACGUGGAUGAUCUGCCCUAAGGUGGAGGAUAACCUCGGGAAACUGAGAAUAAUACUCUAUAGGUCUAGGAUGCUGGAAUGCACUUAAGCUGAAAACUUCGGUGCCUUAGGAUGAGUCUGCGGACUAUCAGGUUGUAGUCAGGGUAAAGACCUGACUAGCCUACGACGGAUACGGGUUGUGAGAGCAAUAACCCGGAGACGAUAUCUGAGACACGAUAUCGGGCCCUACGGGGCGCAGCAGGCGCGAAAACUUCACACUGUGCGAAAGCACGAUGAGGGAAUCCCAAGUGCUUGCCCGUAAGAGUAAGCUGUUUUUAUGUAUAAAAAGCAUACAGAGUAAGGGCUGGGUAAGACGGGUGCCAGCCGCCGCGGUAAUACCUGCAGCUCAAGUGGUGACCACUAUUAUUGGGCCUAAAACGUUCGUAGCCGGUUUAUUAAAUGCUUGGGUAAAUCGUGUAGCUUAACUAUACGAAUUCCGGGUAGACUGAUAGACUUGAGACCGGGAGAAGCUAGAGGUACUCCUGGGGUAGAGGUGAAAUUCUGUAAUCCUGGG
rnacentral:rRNA from 1 species